UUAAGACUUAAUAAAGUGUUAAUAAUUCUUUUAUAUUUAAAAUAGUAAAAUAAAUUAUAUAAUUAAAAAAUUAAAUAUUUAAUACUUAACAUAAAGGUUAUAUUGAUUUAUAUAUUUUCAUUAUCUCAGUUAUUUACUUAAUCGUUUUGUCAAUAAUAAAAAUUUUAUUUGUCUGAUUUAAGAUUUUAAAUAAAAAAUGGUAUGUGUACCAUGUGUAGCUAUACCAAUAUUUCUCAUUAUAUGGAGAUUUUUGAUACAACCAUUAUUUAUAAAAUGGUGGCAGUUUAGAAACAAACAAAAAGAAUUAAUAAAUAAUGAACAACAAUUGGUGAAAGAAUGUAAAAAUGGAGUUUGUACGUUAUCAUGGUCAAAAAAAGAAAAUAAAAAAUUUGAUUAAAAAGCUUUAAAAUUCAUAAA